CAGACACAACAACUCAAGACUCCACCUACCAAACCCUCAACACAGCAACCCAAGACUCCACCUACCAAACCCUCUACACAACAAACCAAGACUCCACCUACCAAACCCUCAACACAACAACCCAAGACUCCACCUACCAAACCCUCAACACAACAAACCAAGACUCCACCUACCAAACCCUCAACACAACAACCCAAGACUCCACCUACCAAACCCUCAACACAACAACCCAAGACUCCACCUACCAAACCCUCAACACAACAACCCAAGACUCCACCUAUCAAACCCUCAACCCAGCAACCCAAGACUCCACCUACCAAACCCUCAACACAGCAACCCAAGACUCCACCUACCAAACCCUCAACACAGCAACCCAAGACUCCACCUACCAAACCCUCAAUACAACAACCCAUGACUUCACCAUUCAAACCCAAAACACAACAGACCCAAACUAAAAUGAUGGCACCAUUAACUUCACACUGAGACAGGAUAGUGUUAGCGAAGUGUUAGUCUCUGUAACAUUUGUACUUGGAAAUCAAUUUUGGAGCAUACUUUUUCAAUCACAGUAAAUAUAUGUGGAUCAAUUUAAUACAAUAUAGUGAUGUAUACCUGAUGCAUAUAUUGUCAUCAUCUCAACAAUGUGUUCCUCGUCUGCUGAAAUAGACAUGGUAACUUUAGAACAGUGAAGUUGACAGUUUUAAGACUUAGUCACCUACAGGAAGCUGAGUUGUCUGGUGGUUUAGAAGUCUAACCUCCGGCCUGAUUGAACCAGUUUCACUCUGCAGCACAUAUAGACCUGGAGACACUGAGGUCACUACAGAGAAAUGAGGAUGUGUAGGCAAAUGCCCAUCCCCUGAACACCACCUCUGACAUGGAGAGAUAGAGAGAGAGAGAGAGAGAGAGAGAGAGAUAGAUAGAGUGAGUGAGAGGAGUUGGGUGUCAGAGGAGGAAGGAGCUUUCAAAAAAUAAGAAAGAUCUCUUCAGAAACACCCAGCUGUCAAACUAGUAACUGACAGACAAGCUGUUGUUGACCUGUGCUAGCUGGUAGUAUAGUAAAGUAACAUUAACAGUACAGUAACUGUGCUAGUAAAGUAACUUUAACAGUAUAGUAACUGAGGAGUAACUGUCCAGAAUGAAGAUACUCCAUCUUGUCUACUGCUGUCUCCUCUCAUAUGAGUUCUGUCUGUUUGUCUGUCUCAGUUUCUAUACUAAUGUCUGGAUCAUAUAGUACAUAAUGAAUUAGAUAAUUAUUUGUAAUUAUUUGUCUGUAAGUAACAUGUGUGCAGAUUUGAGCAGGGUGAAAGUAUGAUUUGAGCAGGGUUAAAGUAAGAUUUGAGCAGGGUCAAAAUAAUAUUCAUGCAGGGUUAAAGUUUGAUUCAUGCAGGGUUCAAGUCAAAUUUGAGCAAGAUUAAAGUAAGAUGUUCAGGGUUAAAGCAAGAUUUAUGCAGUGUUCAAGUUAGAUUUGAGCAGGGUUAAAGUUAGAUUUGAGCAGGGUUAAAGUUAGAUUUGAGCAGGGUUAAAGUUAGAUUUGAGCAGGGUUCAAGUAAGAUUUGAGCAGGGUUAAAGUAUAUCUCACAGGUCAACAGUUGUGACUGUACUGUGUGUUUCUGUUUGACAGCUCUGUGUGUUGUGGUGUCAGCUGUCAAUACUGAGAAGAACGUUUUAGGAGGACAAUUCACUGUGGGCUGCUCAUUCACAUUGGCAGGAAACAACAUCAAAUACUUCUGCAAGGGGACAUGUUCUGGUAAAGACAUUCUGGUUGAAACGAAGGGGAGCAAGACUGUAACACAGUAUAGAAGACAAGGGAAAUGUAUUCUAUGUGACCAUCAAGGACUUGAGGAAGACAGACUCUGGGACCUACUGGUGUGGAGUGGAACGAACUAUAAAGGGCACAUUCCAAGAGGUGCAUCUCACAGUUACAGAUGCUCCUCCUGAAACAUCAACAUUAAACUCCAGACCCAAUGUCUCCACAACCCUACUAAACCUGUCUACAACAUGUAUGGCAUCUGGAGACAUAAGUAUUGAUCCUUCUCAGAGAACAGUUACACAAGUGGUCAUCAUGGUGUGUGUGAGUCCUGUGUUGGUGGUGGGACUCAUCCUGCUACUGAUCUACAAAUGGAGGAGAAACAGGAAAACAUCAACAUCCAAACACUCUACCAGACCGUUGGUGUCUGACUCCAUGACAACCAACCAGGAUCCAGACACAGGAACCAUCACUAACCCCACCUACGCCACAGCAACCAAUCAGAACCCAGAUACAACCCGUGACAUCACCACCACCUGAGCCACUGCAAUCAAUCCUUGUGCAGGUGACAUCUACUCCAAUAUGGUCCGUCUACAAAGGUUCCAGACAGUGUGACAUAUGCUGCUGUCAACUUCCCCAGAGAUCCAGCCUGUCUCCACUACGCUACCUUCAACUUCCCCAGAGAUCCAGCCUGUCUCCACUAUGAUACUGUCAACAACCCCAGAGAUCCAGCCUGUCUCCACUAUGAUACUGUCAACUUCCCCAG